UGCUUUUUCUUUUGAGAGCCAUAUGAACAUGCCAAUGGUAGGAUACGAAUCUUGUAUAAAUGACUAAGACCGACUAAGGCUAAUUUGAGGGGUGGUCGGAGGGGUCCUGAUCCCGAAAUCCCGGUCUUAAAAACAUGAAAUCCCGAGAUGCAGAAUUUAAAGAAAUUCAUAUCCCGAAAUACCAAAAUCGAAAAAUAUAUUCCCGGAUCCCGUAUUGAUCAAUCUCCAGAUCCCGAGCUUAAAAACACCCGAUCCCGAAGUCCCGAAAAAGGUCUUGUCUCCUUCUAGUCUCUACUCUACUUUCAUUUUUGCCAAAUCACUACUUUCACUUUCAACAAUAAAUUUGUAUGCCCC
rnacentral:lncRNA from 1 species